UGCGCAGGCGGCCGUGUGUGUGAGGCGUGAAAGCCCGGGGCUUAACCCCGGAAUUGCACCUCAAACUACAUGGCUAGAGCAUUGGAGAGGGUAGCAGAAUUCAUGGUGUAGCAGUGAAAUGCGUAGAUAUCAUGAGGAAUACCAGAGGCGAAGGCGGCUACCUGGACAAUUGCUGAGCUCAGGCACGAAAGCGUGGGGAGGCAAAAG
rnacentral:rRNA from 1 species